rnacentral:rRNA from 1 species
AUUGAACGCUGGCGGCAGGCUUAACACAUGCAAGUCGAGCGAGCGGCGGACGGGUGAGUAAUGUCUGGGAAACUGCCUGAUGGAGGGGGAUAACUACGGGAAACGGUAGCUAAUACCGCAUACCAUCAGAUGUGCCCAGACGGGACUAGCCAGUAGGUGGGGUAAUGGCUCACCUAGGCGACGAUCCCUAGCUGGUCUGAGAGGAUGACCGGCCACACUGGAACUGAGACACGGUCCAGACUCCUACGGGAGGCAGCAGUAGGGAAUAUUGCACAAUGGGCGCAAGCCUGAUGCAGCCAUGCCGCGUGAGUGAAGAAGGCCUUCGGGUUGUAAAGCGCUUUCGGCAGGGAGGCGUUACUCGCCGAAGAAGCACCGGCUAACUCCGUGCCAGCAGCCGCGGUAAUUC